rnacentral:rRNA from 1 species
GAUGAACGCUGGCGGCGUGCCUAAUACAUGCAAGUCGAGCGAACGGACGAGAAGCUUGCUUCUCUGAUGUUAGCGGCGGACGGGUGAGUAACACGUGGAUAACCUACCUAUAAGACUGGGAUAACUUCGGGAAACCGGAGCUAAUACCGGAUAAUAUUGUGAACCGCAUGGUUCAAAAGUGAAAGACGGUCUUGCUGUCACUUAUAGAUGGAUCCGCGCUGCAUUAGCUAGUUGGUAAGGUAACGGCUUACCAAGGCAACGAUGCAUAGCCGACCUGAGAGGGUGAUCGGCCACACUGGAACUGAGACACGGUCCAGACUCCUACGGGAGGCAGCAGUAGGGAAUCUUCCGCAAUGGGCGAAAGCCUGACGGAGCAACGCCGCGUGAGUGAUGAAGGUCUUCGGAUCGUAAAACUCUGUUAUUAGGGAAGAACAUAUGUGUAAGUAACUGUGCACAUCUUGACGGUACUUAAUCAGAAAGCCACGGCUAACUACGUG